rnacentral:lncRNA from 14 species
AGGCUCUCAUUUCUCCUCGCCUCACUUCAGUACUUUGUAUUUUGGCAGGGGGGAACACAGCAAACAGCACAACUGAUUAAGAAAUCUACUGUGCCUGAUUAAUUUGCUUUCCAGUCUGUCCAGCCGUAAAUGGGAGCAGUGGUCACUUUCCGAAGAAUUGGAUAUAUCCGACUCGGGGAGCGGGAAUCAGAGCCAUGCAGAUAAGGCUGUCAUCAGAGAUAACAGCAGUCAACAACCCUCAGCGUCAUUAUCUCAGCAAAGGGAAAAAGCAGGCAGCUCCCCUUAAUAUACAAAGUGCAGCGGUUAUAUAUGUCUCCUUUACAAUGAUAGAUGGUAAGGGAUAAAGGGGGAAAUCUAACAGAAAGCCUUCAAAGCCAGCCUGCCUCACAUCCAGACUGGGAAUGUGUUUCCAUAGAGGCAGUGAGCAGCCUCCCCCAGCCCGCACCCGCUGGUCGAGCACGGUGCCUUCGGCAAAGCCGCUUCCCCGACGUGGCUCUGAGUGAGGGCUUUUAUUUCUCCCCUCUCCCUUGGUGAGCAGAAUUCCUUAAGAUGGAAUAAUGAAGCGGCGGUUGUCAAACACACCGAACUGGAAGGCAAACAAAUUGGCUGGAUCAGGCCUUUUUAACUUGAAAAAAUAAAUAGAAUAAACGUGAAUUUAUUUGCAAUGCUUUGAUUGCUCUCUGAAACCAUUACACUGCUAAGCCCCUUUUUACCUUAUAAUCAAACUCCAGGAGCAGAACACACUCCGGCGUGUCGCCACGGGAUUUAACAGGCUGCCUCCUCCUCACCGUGCACACACACAUGUACACACCAUGCACGAAACAACGCUCCCUGCCACAGCCUGCUGCCUCCAAACAGCGACCACAACACCAAACAGCACCGAAACACCAGCCCUAACGCGACGACGGGAUGUAAUUCCCUCUUUCCAACACACAGGCCAGUUUGUGAAGCCCCAGACGAGCCGAUCCCCAAAGAAACACCUUUGUCAAAGCCCCAGAAGAAGCAAGGCAACAAAAUGUUCCAGGCGGGAAGAAAAGUUUCUGGAAUGAGGAGGGUACUGCAGAUAAUGCAGCAAAUAGCAGCGCGGUGGUGGUCACGUUUCUGCGCUCAGCUCCCUGCCUGAUACCACUUGGCAAUAAAGGACGAGAUCAAACAGGCUCCCA